UGAGUUUCAAAUCCUGGACUGUUAGUUGAAAAUCUUCUAUUUAAUUGCCUUGCCAAAAAAUAAGCCUAGAUUUCUUCUUUGCUUUCUUUUCAAAUAAAGUAUAAUCUCAUUACCUUCUCUAUUAGAGAGAUUUAUAUAUUCCUUUAUUUGUAUCUUCAUCUUAUCUGACCAUCUCAGGUAACUUUUUUUAAGGUGUCAUUAUUCAAAAAUUCUCACUCAAGCUUACUAAUCGAACCUGAAAAAAAUUAUAUGUUGAUUCCCUUAUUUUGAUUUCUUGGACUAAAUGUUCCCCUGUAAAUUUUCUGUUUUUAACCCCUGCAGGCUUCAUCCAUAAGUGUAAGACAUUCCCCUAAUUCUGUUGUGCGUUGCCAUCAUGUCAAAGGUGAGCUUCACCUUAUCUUGCGUAAAAUAAUAAACACAAAUUUAAUCAAUUUAAUAUUUGUCAACUCCUUUUAUAACUUCUUUUUUGGUCUAUUUACUGUAUUGUAUUUCAUGUUCCCCGUCUUUGAAUCCUGUUGCAGUUAGUAGAUACUGAUGGCAGUUAUUAUAUUAUUUAGUUCAAUCCAUUUCUUGGAAACUCUUCAAGUAGAAGUAAGUAAAUUAGCUCCGUCUAUUAUGCCUUGUUGAUGCUAUUUAUUCUAUAAUAUGGGGACCUGUCAUUUGAGGGCUGCAACUGAAGGGAAGAAAAAUAAUAUGCCCCAUUCCCAAAAUGUUAUUAGAUGGAAUUGAAGAUAUCUAUAGAUACUAGACUAAAUAAUUAAGGUGGACCUGCAGCUACAACAUCAGAGUGAUAAUUUAGGUUGGAAGGAUUCCUUUAGUAGUAUGUUUGGAACUUGGUUGGUUACAACAUUGUUCAUGCUAUUAGAUUUUAGUAGUAUCCUUUCAAGUUUAUGUUCUUGUUUAGUACUUGCAUUUUCUAGUUCUGUAGUCUUAAUAAAUUUUCAUCCUGAAGGAGUCUGUAAGGAAUUCCAGCUCAAAUAAAUUGAGUUCAUGAUAUGAAAUACCGACAGUUUAUAGCUAUAAAUUGAUCGAUUCUGGGUUUUGUUUUCUCUAACAUCAUUUUUGUAAACCUUUACUUCAUUUCUUCAUUAUAUGUCUUUCCUAAGAUACUUUGCUUUAUAGUGGGCAGGAAGAAGGCCUGAGUUAAAAGUUUCUUUAUAAGAUGAACCGUCGCUCCUUGUUGUUGCUGUCAUAUAGCAAACCAAGAUGAACAUGUUCAUGCUGAUGCAAAAGUUACUGGCGUAUUUUGGGAGAACCUAGGCUUUUUUGCACAUACUUAGGUAGUAGCUUAAUUUUAUGGAUAGUUUGGUUUAUUUUUUGGUUUAUUUUGUGGAUUGAAAAGUGAAUUUGAGAUGUAUAUAUGGAUAGUUUGGUAUAUAUUUUGUGGAUAUAGUAAUUUGAAGCUGUAAACGAAUUGUAUUAUUGGGAUGUAUUUUGAAUGGUUG
rnacentral:lncRNA from 1 species